AUUGAACGCUGGCGGCAGGCCUAACACAUGCAAGUCGAACGGUAACAGGAAGCAGCUUGCUGCUUUGCUGACGAGUGGCGGACGGGUGAGUAAUGUCUGGGAAACUGCCCGAUGGAGGGGGAUAACUACUGGAAACGGUAGCUAAUACCGCAUAACGUCGCAAGACCAAAGAGGGGGACCUUAGGGCCUCUUGCCAUCCGAUGUGCCCAGAUGGGAUUAGCUAUUAGGUGGGGUAACGGCUCACCUCGGCGACGAUCCCUAGCUGGUCUGAGAGGAUGACCAGCCACACUGGAACUGAGACACGGUCCAGACUACUACGGGAGGCAGCAGUGGGGAAUAUUGCACAAUGGGCGCAAGCCUGAUGCAGCCAUGCCGCGUGUAGGAAGAAGGCCUUCGGGUUGUAAAGUACUUUCAGCGGGGAGGAAGGGAGUAAAGUUAAUACCUUUGCUCAUUGACGUUACCCGCAGAAGAAGCACCGGCUAACUCCGUG
rnacentral:rRNA from 1 species